rnacentral:lncRNA from 1 species
CCAAGCCCCACCAAUCCCUGAGAGAUAAUUAGCAUACUGCUGUCUAUAUAAGCCGAGCGAUUUUGCUGCUCGGGGUCCCUGUUCAAGAGAGCUGUAACACUGAGAAGAGCUGUAACACUAAGAAGAGCUGUAACACAGUAAAGGCUUGCUCGCAGAAGAAUCCUGUUGCCACGCGUCGUUCUUGCUGGCGGGACAUUGGGCGCGCGACACCUAAGUCCUCUCCCUUCUUCACUCAUUCAUUAACUUUUCACUUUUCCUACUUUCUAGAGAACCACAGACUCCAGAAGUAUACGUGGGCGUGUGUAAAGACAGGAGCUCCAGACUAG